GUGGGGAAUAUUGGACAAUGGGCGCAAGCCUGAUCCAGCCAUGCCGCGUGAGUGAUGAAGGCCUUAGGGUUGUAAAGCUCUUUUGUCCGGGAAGAUAAUGACUGUACCGGAAGAAUAAGCCCCGGCUAACUUCGUGCCAGCAGCCGCGGUAAUACGAAGGGGGCUAGCGUUGUUCGGAAUCACUGGGCGUAAAGCGCACGUAGGCGGACCAUUAAGUCAGGGGUGAAAGCCUGGAGCUCAACUCCAGAACUGCCUUUGAUACUGAUGGUCUCGAGUUCGGAAGAGGUUGGUGGAACUGCGAGUGUAGAGGUGAAAUUCGUAGAUAUUCGCAAGAACACCAGUGGCGAAGGCGGCCAACUGGUCCGAUACUGACGCUGAGGUGCGAAAGCGUGGGGAGCAAACAGGAUUAGAUACCCCAGUAGUCC
rnacentral:rRNA from 1 species